rnacentral:rRNA from 1 species
GAUGAACGCUAGCGGGAGGCCUAACACAUGCAAGCCGAGCGGUAUUGUUUCUUCGGAAAUGAGAGAGCGGCGUACGGGUGCGGAACACGUGUGCAACCUGCCUUUAUCUGGGGGAUAGCCUUUCGAAAGGAAGAUUAAUACUCCAUAACAUAUUGAACGGCAUCGUUUGAUAUUGAAAGCUCCGGCGGAUAGAGAUGGGCACGCGCAAGAUUAGCUAGUUGGUGAGGUAAGGGCUCACCAAGGCGCUGAUCUUUAGGGGGCCUGGGGGGGUGAUCCCCCACACUGGUACUGAGACACGGACCAGACUCCUGCGGGAGGCAGCAGUGAGGAAUAUUGGUCAAUGGGUGCAAGCCUGAACCAGCCAUCCCGCGUGAAGGACGACUGCCCUAUGGGUUGUAAACUUCUUUUGUAUAGGGAUAAACCUACCCUCGUGAGGGUAGCUGAAGGUACUAUACGAAUAAGCACCGGCUAACUCCGUGCCAGCCGCCGCAGUAAUAC